UCCUUCAGAUAGUCGGGAGCAUUCUGAAAAGCACUUUUGGUCUCUCAUCUUGCAAAUGCAUGUUGGUUUGUCAGAAGGUAUUUUUUGGAAGCAGGAGCAGGUUCCCGAUGUACUUACUGCGUUUUCAUUGUAUGGAGCACCAGGCCCUGCAUGAUUACAGAAGUGAACAAAACAGACCCGGAGGCUGGAGCUGCCCUUCUCUGAGGCGGGGCAGGCUGUGGAAUGAGCGGUUGCGGUGAUGCUCCAUGAGAUGCUUGCUCCGCAUCCAGGUGCACAGCUUGGGGAAAGAGGUGGCCUUUUUGGAUCCAGAGGAGACUCACAGCUCUGUCAUUGCCCACCGCAAACUACGAGCUCCGGGGAGGACCCUGUUUGGCAUCUCUGGCUCCCAGCACGAGGCCUGGCACACACGAGGUACUUAGAAAGGGGGCUGGGAGUUCCCGUCGUGGCUCAGUGGUUAACAAAUCUGACUAGGAACCAUGAG